CGAACGCUUUGUGGUUCACUGAUUUGAAGAGCUUGCUCAGAUAUGACGAUGGACAUUGCAAAGAGUGGCGAACGGGUGAGUAACACGUGGGAAACCUACCUCUUAGCAGGGGAUAACAUUUGGAAACAGAUGCUAAUACCGUAUAACAAUGACAACCGCAUGGUUGUUAUUUAAAAGAUGGUUCUGCUAUCACUAAGAGAUGGUCCCGCGGUGCAUUAGCUAGUUGGUAAGGUAAUGGCUUACCAAGGCGAUGAUGCAUAGCCGAGUUGAGAGACUGAUCGGCCACAAUGGGACUGAGACACGGCCCAUACUCCUACGGGAGGCAGCAGUAGGGAAUCUUCCACAAUGGGCGAAAGCCUGAUGGAGCAACGCCGCGUGUGUGAUGAAGGGUUUCGGCUCGUAAAACACUGUUGUAAGAGAAGAAUGACAUUGAGAGUAACUGUUCAAUGUGUGACGGUAUCUUACCAGAAAGGAACGGCUAAAUACGUGCCAGCAGCCGCGGUAAUACGUAUGUUCCAAGCGUUAUCCGGAUUUAUUGGGCGUAAAGCGAGCGCAGACGGUUAUUUAAGUCUGAAGUGAAAGCCCUCAGCUCAACUGAGGAAUUGCUUUGGAAACUGGAUGACUUGAGUGCAGUAGAGGAAAGUGGAACUCCAUGUGUAGCGGUGAAAUGCGUAGAUAUAUGGAAGAACACCAGUGGCGAAGGCGGCUUUCUGGACUGUAACUGACGUUGAGGCUCGAAAGUGUGGGUAGCAAACAGGAUUAGAUACCCUGGUAGUCCACACCGUAAACGAUGAGUGCUAGGUGUUUGAGGGUUUCCGCCCUUAAGUGCCGCAGCUAACGCAUUAAGCACUCCGCCUGGGGAGUACGACCGCAAGGUUGAAACUCAAAGGAAUUGACGGGGACCCGCACAAGCGGUGGAGCAUGUGGUUUAAUUCGAAGCAACGCGAAGAACCUUACCAGGUCUUGACAUCCCUUGACAACUCCAGAGAUGGAGCGUUCCCUUCGGGGACAAGGUGACAGGUGGUGCAUGGUUGUCGUCAGCUCGUGUCGUGAGAUGUUGGGUUAAGUCCCGCAACGAGCGCAACCCUUAUUACUAGUUGCCAGCAUUCAGUUGGGCACUCUAGUGAGACUGCCGGUGACAAACCGGAGGAAGGUGGGGAUGACGUCAAAUCAUCAUGCCCCUUAUGACCUGGGCUACACACGUGCUACAAUGGCGUAUACAACGAGUUGCCAACCCGCGAGGGUGAGCUAAUCUCUUAAAGUACGUCUCAGUUCGGAUUGUAGGCUGCAACUCGCCUACAUGAAGUCGGAAUCGCUAGUAAUCGCGGAUCAGCACGCCGCGGUGAAUACGUUCCCGGGUCUUGUACACACCGCCCGUCACACCAUGAGAGU
rnacentral:rRNA from 1 species